rnacentral:rRNA from 1 species
UGGGGAAUUUUCCGCAAUGGGCGAAAGCCUGACGGAGCAAUACCGCGUGAGGGAGGAAGGCUUUUGGGUUGUAAACCUCUUUUCUUAGGGAAGAAGAUCUGACGGUACCUAAGGAAUCAGCAUCGGCUAACUCCGUGCCAGCGGCCGCGGUAAUACGGAGGAUACAAGCGUUAUCCGGAAUUAUUGGGCGUAAAGCGUCCGCAGGUGGCUCUUCAAGUCUGCUGUCAAAGACCACAGCUCAACUGUGGGCAGGCGGUGGAAACUGUGUAACUAGAGUUCGGUAGGGGUAGAGGGAAUUCCCAGUGUAGCGGUGAAAUGCGUAGAUAUUGGGAAGAACACCAGUGGCGAAGGCGCUCUACUGGGCCGAGACUGACGCUGAUGGACGAAAGCUAGGGGAGCGAAAGGGAUUAGAUACCCCUGUAGUCC